GGAGAGGUGUCCGAGUGGUUUAAGGAGGCGGUCUUGAAAACCGCUGAGCCGCAAGGCUCCGUGGGUUCGAAUCCCACCUUCUCCG
rnacentral:tRNA from 1 species